GAUGAACGCUAACUACCCGCUUAAUUCAUGACUGUCAAGGGGCACCAUGCCAAAUUCUUGCUUCUUCUGAUGGCAACCGGAUCCCGACUGCGAAACGCUUAUCAGAACUGCCUCCUACUCGGGGAUAGCCUUGCCAAUGUAACAUUAAUACCCGAUGUUGUUAUGUUCCCGCACUGGAGAUAUCACCAAAAAUUUAUCGCUUUCACAUGUUGAUGCGUCCGAUUACGUAGUACGCCGGUAUAACGGCCCACCUAACCUUCUAUCGGCAAGGGUUCUGAGAUGAACGCCCCCCACACUGUUAACUGAAACUCUAUCCACACUCCUACAGGAGGCACCUGCGACGACUAUUGCUCUGUGCACGAAAGUCUGAACCUAUCUCUUAACGUGCCAGAGGACGGCCCUCUGUGUUGAAGACUGCUUUUAUGUGUCAAUAAAAAACACGAGCUGCCCUCUAUGGGAUGUACCUUCACAAUUCGGACCAGCUAAUUCCGUGCCAGCAUCCUCCCCAAUACGGAAAGUCCAUGCGUUAUCCGCAUUUAUUGGAUUUCAAGACACCCUACGCCUAUUAUUCAUCCAUUGCUGAAAGACCGUGGCUCAACCCUUUUAAGGCAUUGAAACUGGUAUUCUUGACUGCAGAUAGGGAUGCUGGAACUAGUGGCGUAGCGGUGAAAUGCUUAGAUAUCACGAUGAACUCCGAUCGCGAAGGCAGGUGUCUGGGCUGCAACUGACGCUGAGGCUCGAAAGUGUGGGUAUCAAACAGGAAUAGAUACAGUGGUAGUCCACACAGUAAACGAUGUAUACUCGCGGUUUGCGAUAGACAGUAAGCCGCCGAGCCAAAGCAUUAAGUAUACCACUAGGGGAGUACGCCCGCACCGGUGAAACUCAAAGGAAUUGACGGGGGCCCGCACAAGCGGAGGAACAUGUGGGUUAAUUCGAUGAUACGCGAGGAACCUUACCCGGGCUUGCACUAAGAGUGACGAACCUACAGAUAGAUUUUUCUUCCCACACUCUUGGAGGAGCUGCAUGGUUGUCGUCAGCUCGCGCCGCGAGGUGUCGGCUUAAGUGCCAUAACGAGCGCAACCCUUUUCCUUGGUUGCCAUCAAGCAAUGCUGGGCACUCCAGGCAUACUGCCAUCGUAAGAUGUGAGGAAGGAGGGGAUGACGUCAAAUCAGCACGGCCCUUACGUCCGGGGCUACACACGUGUUACAAUGGGGGGUACAGAAGGUCGCUACCGAGGCGACAUGGAUGCCAAUCUCAAAAACCUCUCUCACUUCCGAUCGGAGUCUGCAACCCGCAUGAGAGAAGAGGGAUUCUCUAGUAAUCGAGCAUCAGCCAUGGGGCGGUGAAUAAGUUCCCGGUCUG
rnacentral:rRNA from 1 species